CCUACGGGAGGCAGCAGUGGGGAAUAUUGCACAAUGGGGGAAACCCUGAUGCAGCGACGCCGCGUGAGUGAAGAAGGAUUUCGGUAUGUAAAGCUCUAUCAGCAGGGAAGAAAAUGACGGUACCUGAUUAAGAAGCCCCGGCUAACUACGUGCCAGCAGCCGCGGGAAUACGUAGGGGGCAAGCGUUAUCCGGAUUUACUUGGUGUAAAGGGAGCGUAGACGGCAGCACAAGUCUGGAGUGAAAUGCCGGGGCUUAACCCCGGAACUGCUUUGGAAACUGUGCAGCUAGAGUGCAGGAGAGGUAAGUGGAAUUCCUAGUGUAGCGGUGAAAUGCGUAGAUAUUAGGAGGAACACCAGUGGCGAAGGCGGCUUACUGGACUGUAACUGACGUUGAGGCUCGAACGCGUGGGGAGCAAACAGGAUUAGCUACCCGAGUAGUC
rnacentral:rRNA from 1 species